UUUUUUUAUUUUUUUUAUUUUCUUGCUUUUUGCAACCGCGGGACCGCGUUUCUGCGCUUCAGAUUGCGUUUUUCCGACUCCUUUGUUUGAUAUCGUGUCGUAUCGUCGUAUUUAUGUAGUUAUUAGGAACGGCAAGGCCUACGUUGUUGCGUCCUUUACCUGAAUAUCGUGACCGAAUCGAGUGUCGUCGAUUUGAAUCGUGUCUUGCGAACCAUCGUCGAACAAAAGGUGAUGGCUGGUCGUGGUUCAUCAGCGUUUGUUUUGAAACUGAUGGGUACCACAAGGCAUGAAGGAGGUGACUUGCAGCAGCAAGGCACUGCAAGCCUUCGCAGCAACUGGCUAGCCAGUGCUGCUCUGUUCUGAACUGCACUGCGUGUCAUGCGGAGGUUUUGUGCAAGCUCUCUGGGCGGCGACGCUAGCCACGAUUGGCUUCGUGGAUGCACAGAAAUACUCAAGGCGCUUGACGUCUGUGGCUCAUCUGUAUUGUUUUUCCCGGUACCACGGCAUGAAGGAGCUGGCCUCCCUCCCUUCCAUCAGCUGCGAGAUACUACAAGCACUGGGCUACAGCUGCAGCUAGCCCAUGGGUACCGUUCUGCGUCCUGUACUGCAUCUAGUUCGAAAGGCCAUGUGAAAGGCAGGUACCGGGGACCAUGACAUCAGUGAGCUGGCUUUCACCUUGUCCAAGGCAGCAGCGGAACACUACGGGCGGGACCCUGGAUCACUGCACCAUGGAUGCCGUCCUGUACCCUGCACGGCACUGCGUGUGGCUUAAGUGGCCAAGCAGAGGGUCAUUGCAUGACUUUUAUGAGGCGCCGCUAGCCAUUGUAAGUACAUUUUGGACACUCAUGUCUGGUGAUGUACUUUUGUGCUUUACCGCAGAGCACAUUUGGUGGCGGUUCAGUCUUGCCAAUUACACCAUUUUGAAACGGAACACAUUUAGUGGUGGCUCGGUUUAGGUUUCCUGGCUCGGUGAUCUUGCAACAGUGUCUAGACUUGGCAUAAACCUUUUUGUACUUCAUUGUCAAGGCUAGUGUAAUUUCUGCAAUGCCGUUGAAGCCACUUCUGCACGCAAACAAGAUAAAAGUCGAAGCCACAUGCUCGUGCACAGUGUAUGACUACAUGUAUGCAUGGGCACUCGUGCCCAUGCGUACCCACUCGCAACGUGGAGCAUGUUUGUUUCGGCCGACACUCCACGCGUUCAUUUCGGCGUCGCCACUCCACACGUCUAUGCACUCGCUGCACCUUGAGAAUCAAGUGUGCACCAGAAUGCACUCCCGUCAUGCAUCACUCGGGAGAGGAACAAGAGCAGACGACUGGGGUUUUUCCGCCAUAAGGAACGAGAACCGAAAAAAAGGGGAUUUUCUGCUAAGAAACUGCGUCCCACGGGCAGCAAAAUCGGACGCGAGCUGGGCUAUUUAUUCUGUGAAGCAAGCAAUCGACAACCUGUGCUUCAUUUUCAAUUUUUCUUUCAGUUUGUUGCCACACAGACAUUGAAAUACAUCAAUGGGAUAAAGUAAGGUUCAGAACCAACAUCAGCUACCGUGAGAUCUUUCACUAUCCUUGCGGGGUUGAAAAAUUGGGACUUCAGUUGACAAACCUCGCCCGCCCUCCUGUCCAUCAUCACCUGACCCCAUUCUGCAUAUGUGGGUUUCAAACCACCCUGAAUCGUGGAUCAAGCCUUGCAAGAUGGAAGUUCUCUUUAGGCCCAGCGCCUCUUGAUGGGUCAAGUCUUGUACCCCAUUCCCUCGUGUCUUUCAUAUAAGUAAAUUGUUGGUAUUUCUUUUAUGACAGUGCACGUUACCUGCGGACCACGUUUUACAGUCGAAACGCAGUGUACCGAAACUUCUUUUAUAUAGACCCCUUUCUUUGCAAGCGCCACCAGGCGGUGCUUCAGUUUGUUUGAUGUCUCAGCAAACUUCUGAUUCAUAACA
rnacentral:lncRNA from 1 species